rnacentral:rRNA from 1 species
CAGGACGAACGCUGGCGGCGUGCCUAAUACAUGCAAGUCGAACGGUCUUUCUAUGGAAGCUUGCUUCCACUGAGAAGAUAGUGGCGAACGGGUGAGUAACACGUGGGUAACCUGCCCAUAAGAGGGGGAUAACAUCCGGAAACGGGUGCUAAUACCGCAUAGUUUUCUUGAUCGCAUGAUUGAGAAAGGAAAGACGGCCUUUGUGCUGUCGCUUAUGGAUGGACCCGCGGCGUAUUAGUUAGUUGGUGAGGUAACGGCUCACCAAGACGAUGAUACGUAGCCGACCUGAGAGGGUGAUCGGCCACAUUGGGACUGAGACACGGCCCAAACUCCUACGGGAGGCAGCAGUAGGGAAUCUUCCGCAAUGGACGAAAGUCUGACGGAGCAACGCCGCGUGAGUGAAGAAAAGGUUUUCGGAUCGUAAAACUCUGUUGUCAGAGAAGAACAAGUUGGAGAGUAACUGCUCCAGCCUUGACGGUAUCUGACCAGAAAGCCACGGCUAACUACGUGCCAGCCGCAGC